rnacentral:misc_RNA from 1 species
AGUCCACUUAAGCCUAGCUUAGUGUUGGGAGUCUACUCUGAGCGGUGCUACCCUGUAGUUACCCUGUAGUUCCUUAAAGACAGCGGCGGAGUUGUGAUACCCUCUGAGCUUAGUAAUUUUUUCCUAGCUUUCGAGUCGUCGCUUCCCCUGCCGUUAAACCCCUCUACCCUUGGUAGUUUUUAAU